CCUACGGGAGGCUGCAGUGAGGAAUAUUGGUCAAUGGCCGUAAGGCUGAACCAGCCAAGUCGCGUGAAGGAAGAAGGAUCUAUGGUUUGUAAACUUCUUUUAUAGGGGAAUAAAGGUAUCCACGUGUGGAUAUUUGCAUGUACCCUAUGAAUAAGCAUCGGCUAACUCCGUGCCAGCAGCCGCGGUAAUACGGAGGAUGCGAGCGUUAUCCGGAUUUAUUGGGUUUAAAGGGUGCGUAGGUUGUUUUUUAAGUCAGCGGUGAAAGUUUGUGGCUCAACCAUCAAAUUGCCGUUGAAACUGGAAGACGUGAGUGUGUUUGAGGUAGGCGGAAUGCGUGGUGUAGCGGUGAAAUGCAUAGAUAUCACGCAGAACUCCGAUUGCGAAGGCAGCUUACUAAGCCAUAACUGACACUGAAGCACGAAAGCGUGGGGAUCAAACAGGAUUAGAUACCCUUGUAGUC
rnacentral:rRNA from 1 species